GGACCUGUGCCUGAAAUAAAGGGCCACUUCGAUAAAGUGAAUCAUGUGGGUUAAACUCCCUCCAGCUCCUCAAUUAACCU
rnacentral:tRNA from 1 species